rnacentral:rRNA from 1 species
UCGGCAAUGGAUAUCUCGGCUCUCGCAUCGAUGAAGAGCGCAGCGAAAUGCGAUACGUGGUGCGAAUUGCAGAAUCCCGCGAAC